rnacentral:lncRNA from 1 species
UGUGGAUCCACUGAGAGAGGAGGGAGCUACAGGCUUUGGGCACAGGAUGCUGUGGUGUUUGAAAUCCCCUGUAGUGUACCCCAUCAUACGAUCGGAAGAGACAUUGGGGCAAUUUGAUUUCGCACAGGAAUUAGAAUUCUAUGGCAAAGGGGAGGCUAUCUCUGAAAAUAACCCUCCAGUGGUGCAGAGUGGGGACCAUGGCCAAGAGAGGAGCUGACUUUCCC